rnacentral:ncRNA from 5 species
GACCUCGGAUCAGGUAGGGAUACCCGCUGA